GCCUCUAUGGCUUAGUGGUAAAGCGUCGCACUUGUAUCUCAAGGAAUGCGAAGAUCCCUCGUUCGAUCCGGGGUGGAGGCA